rnacentral:tRNA from 1 species
GCCUGGGUGGCUCAGUGGUUGAGCAUCUGCCUUUGGCUUAGAUCGUGAUCUCCGGAUCCUGGGAUCAAGUCCCACAUCGGGCU